GACGAACGCUGGCGGCGUGCUUAACACAUGCAAGUCGAACGGAAAGGCCCUGCUUUUGUGGGGUGCUCGAGUGGCGAACGGGUGAGUAACACGUGAGUAACCUGCCCUUGACUUUGGGAUAACUUCAGGAAACUGGGGCUAAUACCGGCUAGGAGCUCCUGCUGCAUGGUGGGGGUUGGAAAGUUUCGGCGGUUGGGGAUGGACUUGCGGCUUAUCAGCUUGUUGGUGGGGUAGUGGCUUACGCAGGCAUUGACGGGUAGCCGGCCUGAGAGGGUGACCACGCACAUUGGGACUGAGGGACGGCCCAGAGGCCAACGGGAGGCAGCAGGGGGAAAUAUUGCACAAUGGGCGCAAGUCUGAUGCAGCAACGCCGCGAGCGGGAUGACGGCCUUGGUGUGGGAAACCGCAGUCAGCUGAGACGAAGCGUGAGUGACGGUAAUGGGUAAAGAAGCACCGGCUAACUACGUG
rnacentral:rRNA from 1 species